UACGAAGGGGGCUAGCGUUGCUCGGAAUCACUGGGCGUAAAGGGUGCGUAGGCGGGUCUUUUAAGUCAGGGGUGAAAUCCUGGAGCUCAACUCCAGAACUGCCUUUGAUACUGAAGAUCUUGAGUUCGGGAGAGGUGAGUGGAACUGCGAGUGUAGAGGUGAAAUUCGUAGAUAUUCGCAAGAACACCAGUGGCGAAGGCGGCUCACUGGCCCGAUACUGACGCUGAGGCACGAAAAGCGUGGGGAGCAAA
rnacentral:rRNA from 1 species